AUGGUUACAAAGCCCAGUGAAUUAUCUGAAUCCAACUCUCUUAUGGCCAAUCCCAAAUACGAGACAACAAGCAAUGAAGUAGAAGUGAGCAGCUCAAAUACUUUGGGUAAAAGCACCAGAAUUACUGAGCCCAGUAAAUUGUCUGAAUCCAACUCUCCUAUUGCCAAUCCCAAACACAAAACAACAAGCAACGAAGUAGAAGUGAGCAGCUCAAAUACUUUGGAUAAAGAUACCAAAAGGGUUAAGCCUGCAAUGAAACCUGUGGCAUCCUCUGAAUCCAAAUUUCCUGUGAACAAUCCCAAACACAAAACAACAAACAAUGAAGUAGAAGUGAGCAGCUCAAAUACUUUGGAUAAACAUACCAAAUGGAAUCAGAAACCUACUGCUCCUUCUGUGAUCUGCACUGAAAAGAAAACAGUAACAUCUGAAAUGCAAUGGAGCAACUUGAUCCCUGUAGUUUCCAGGACCACUUUGAAUGUGCCUGUGAACAGGACUGAAUCUAAACCUGGUGGUACAGGACAGAAUACCAUCACCCAUAGAAUCUCAAGCAGCAAUUUGAUUAUUUUAGGUUCCGAACCUGGGUCAUCUGUAGAUAGCUCCACCAGAAGUAAGAUAGAACAGAAAAGAAGCAGAACAUGUAGAAGCAACUUAAUCACUUUAGCUUCAGUUGACAACACCACUUCAUCUGAGCCCGCAGCCAGGGCACCCGAAUCUAGUGUAAACUACCGGGUGAAUCACACAGAAGAGAAGAUAAACUUCACCAGUGCAGAGGAAAACAACUUGAUUGCAUUAGGUUAUAGUGCCAAUGAAGUUCAGCAAGUUUUUAAGCCACCAGAACACUAUGGAUAUGAAUAUUAUGUGGGUGGUACAGAUUACAGUGCCGCUUUGUCUGAACCUUCAAUGCACCCACCUGGAACUAAUUUGCACUCCUACUAUUAUACAAGUGGUGUAGAACAGCAGGCAGAUGACCACAGUGUAAAAGAGAGCAACUUGAUGUCUUCAGGUUACAGCACAUAUUUGCCUGUAUCUGUGACUCAACCACUUGAACCCAGUGUUUGCCCCAUUUAUGAGAGUACUGCAGAACCAGAAGUAAAGAGUGCUGAAAUACAACAUGAUACUGUGUUUACUACAGAUAAGUCCCUGAAAUCAUCUGAAUGGAAGUUCUACAUGGGUGGUGCACGUCGUAAAAAAAAGAACCAAGGGAACAGCUUGCUUACCUCAGUGGAUCCACCAGACCUUGCAAGUGUGGAAAGGGGUAAUACCAGAAAACAAGAAUCAAUCUCGAGACAUUUAUUAAUGUUUUCGGAAUUCCCAUUGACUGAAGAGCAAAUAUUUGGCUUAUUUGAUGUCAUCCCAGGAUUGGAAUCUUGCGAAACUCGUCCAGGUCUUCGUAGUAAACGUGUAUAUGCAAUGGUUCAGUACAGAAAUGUUGCAUCUGCUGUGUAUGCCAAACACAGACUACAUGGUUUGGAAUAUCCUCUUGGGAAUCAGCUGCAUGUUAGUUUCAUGAAAGACAAAAUACAUGGAACUCAACUCCUCCAAGAAAUGGCAACACAGCUGGUGACUUCACAUCUGGCUUCAAUGAUAUGGGAUAAUAAUUGGGCUCCUCAACUUCUGAGGUCUGCUGAGUCUUGGAUUCCUCCCCCUCGUCUCCAAACAGACGCUGCGCUUCCAUCAUACAAAAGGAAAGCUCCCCCGGACUCUUCUAUACGUGAAAGGCUUUUAAUCAUAUUUGAUCCCUGUCCCUUACCUCAAAAUGUCUUGGAUAAUGUAUUAAGUCGGUUUGGACAUUUUAUAGCCAGUCACCUUAUCCCUGGGAAAAAUGGGGCUUAUGCCAUGUUUGCAGAGAGAGCAAGUGCUAGUGAUGCCAUAGCUAUGCUACAUGGGAAAACUGUGAAUGAUGUGAAGUUGAAGGUGACACUGUCUGAUCUGCCUACAGACGACUUCAGUAAACGCCAGCGGUUAUUCUGACUGGGCAGAGACUCAAGGCCAACAGAGACAACCAAAAGCACCACUACUGAAGAAGAAACACCCACAGGGCUUCCAUUUCCGCUGACAUUUUAUUCUUUUGGAUAAAUGUAGCUCCCAUGUAUAGUGCAGCUGCAAUCCAAAAUAAGAACAGUUGCUCUGACCCAAAGGGUAGCCAUGCAACAGAUGCCAUAGUGGAGCUGACCCAAACAAGCACCUUUCCUCAGACCCAGUGUUGCGAGUGGACCUUUUAUGGCAGCAGGUGGUUGAAUAACAGCAACAAAAGUGUUUUACCUAAAAGAUGUAUGUGGCCUUGGGGAUACUUCUUGAACUAAUGUGUGUAUUUGAGACUCAGUUCGCCUCAGUGAUUGAAAGUAACUUUUACUUCUGCCAUUGAUUUGACUAGCUUCAAUUUCUAGACAGAGGUAGCCUGGCCACAUUGGUUUGUGUUCUGUCAGCAUCACAGUUAGAUUACUGCAACUUGUUAUAUUUGAGACUGCCCAUGGAGAUGAUAUAUAAGUUCAGCAAAUACAGAAGCAACAACAAGGACUUCCACCAGAAUUGCCAGAUGGAAUCCAAAAUCUGCAGGAACAACUAUCUUAGCAGCCUCCACUGACUUAACACCAGGACCUCAGGAGCAGCUCCUCUCCAAGAUCUGUGCCUAUGUCACACAUGAAGAAAGAAGAACACCUUUGCAGCUGUGGCGCCGCAACAUGGACUGUCCUCCCACAGAGGUGCAACCGAAAUGAACACUCAGGUUGUUUUAACACCAGCUUGAACUAUUUCUAUUUGCCAAGCCAUUUGAAUUGGCUGCUUUAGCAUUUUUACUGCUUUUGUUUUGAUGACUUUUUUUUUUAGUUGUGAGUUGAAUGAUAUCUCAUUGUAUUAACUCUUGCUUCUGUACUAUACCCUUCUAUUUGUAAAGAUGAAAGGUAGUUUUAAAAUAUUGUAACAAGAGAUUGAUAGCUUGGGGUAGGAGUGAGUUCUGCCCAAUCUUCUUCUCUAUUUUUGGAGUUCUCCCUCCUUCAUACUUUGCUGUGAAGCACAGGGCAUGAAUUUGCCAGCUGUGCCCCUUGAGGUCUAUAGGAGAGCCUUGGAGCCAAUCAUUUCUUUACUUGGACAGUUUUCUAAAUUCCUUUGUAAGCACAGAGAUCAUAUAUGAGACCUCAAGAACCAGAUACAGGUAAGCAGCCCAUCCCUUUUGUUGCAGGGUCAAUGCUUUCUCUCCGCUCCUUCACUUCGUAGUUCAUUCAUCAUAUUCCUAAGUGAAAUGUGCUCAUGCCAGUGACAAAGUGUUGGACAUUAGUAAUGAACAUUAUUACUGCAGCCAUCUCUCUCCACUUCCUGUAUCAUUGAGUAAACACCUUUUAAGAAAUUAAAGGUCUUCAACUAGUUGAAUAUUGCCUUGUUUUGUGUCUUCUUAUUCUUAAUAGACUAUAAAAUGGGCAUCCUCAGUUUCAUGCCCUGUUUCUGACUGAUGAAUACAACAUAGCAUUCAUGAUUCAAUGUAUUUAGGAGCUCUGUUACAAGAUAAUGAGGCUCCAUGAAAAUGCACCUCUAACAUAUAAGAAGUUGAAUGUGUAUGUUAUCUGUAGAUCUGGGAGCUAAAAAAAUAAAAAUUUUAAGGAAUUUAUCAGCUAGUGUAUGCUUUUUGUUAACACCAUCAAACAGUUGCCCAAGCCAUUUUGAGAGGCUGUAUAAACAUACCUAGUAUAGCCAUUCAUCCCUCAGAAUUGUUAGUUUUUACUUGGUGGAUGGAGAGUUCAUUCAUUGUUCUACAAUGAGUGAACACAAUGCCAUGGUAUCUAUGUAUUUGGCUGUGUACAUGUGAGAGCUAGUAUAAUGUUGCUGGUCCUUAGAAGUGUAUAGGAUCAUGGAGGCAUAUCUAUGACCAAGAUCCUAUAUAUAUGACCAAUAACUAGCUUAGCUUUCAUUAUUGACUCUUGAGCUUUGGCAAGAUGGGAGGAGCAGCAUAUUGAUGAAAUCAUGAAUCAAUAUUGAGAAUUGGGUGUUUUCCUGGCCUUUAGCUCAGCUCUUGUGUGAUGAUCAAUUAAGAACAGCACCAAAUUAAGAGAAGGGGACUGUAUCUGUACAUCAGCAUACAUAUUCAUUGUCUGACAAAGUGGAACUGUUUUGAUGCUAGCAGAAUUUCAGGCAGGAUUGAAAGCCCUACAUGGUUUGGAUCCAGAUUACCUACAGGAUCGCCUUCUCCUGUGCAAUCUGCCCAGACACUGGUAGGCGGCUACUCUAAGCAGCCAGAACUCAACUGGUAUCUAUCACACAGAGGACCUUUUCAACAGCCGCCCAAAGACUGUGGAACGACCUGUCAGAAGAGCUUCGACAGGUAGAGCAUCUGUAGGAAUUCAAGACAAUUGAAGUCUCAUCUCUUCUGGCAGGCAAGCCUACCCUGUCAGUUUCAAGUUGUGAAUUGAAUUUGCAUUUUAUCAGAGGAUUUUAACUUGUAUUUCAACACUGUGUAUCUUGUAGGUCUUUUAAUAGUGUUUUAUCUCUUGUUUUAAUGAUGUUGUAUCCCACCUCAAGCCACAGGAAGAGGUGUGUGGUACAUUUAUUAUUAUUAUGUUACUUCAGAAAUGUUACUGGGGUGAGGAUUGAUUAGACCCUUUUAACCUAUUUGGGUUUGUUUUAAAAAACGAGAAAACCACCCCAAUGCAUUAAUAUUUCUUUACUGGUGAGUAAUGAAUGCUACCCUUUAACAGUAUUUUAAAUGUUUCAAGGUCUGGUCAAGGAAUUACGUUUAUCUUGGAUGAUACUGUGCCACUGUGUGGUUUAGUUAAUUUUGAUGUUAUUUAAAAUACAUGUUUUAAAUUGUGCAUACUGCAUUAGGAAUGCUUACUUGAGCAUUGGUUUAUAUGUCAGUUAAAUUAUAAUGGGCUGGUUUGUAUUGUUUUCACUCAGCUAUUGCUUCUGGCCCUCCCAUCACAUACCAGUUCUAUCCAGUCCUAAAAGCCACUCAAAUCUCAUCAUCUUAGGUUAUCACUCGUGGCCAAAUAUGAUUGCCAUCCAAGUGUAGGGUCUUGGCGGUGGAUCCGUAAGUGACUGUAGAGACCUAUUCCUGAUUCGCAUAUUCUUUCACAGUGAGGACAUCGUUUUCCCGAUGGAAAGCAGUCCCGACAGGUUGGCUUGAUGCCCCUUCCUCUUGGCACAUUUCUCUCUUUUGCCCUGUAUUUGUGCCUCAAGUUCCACAGCACUGCUGGUCACAGCUGACCUCCAGCUAAAGCACUCA
rnacentral:lncRNA from 11 species